UGAUCAUUUCGGAAAAGAUCCACCUGCAAAUUCUUUAAGCCUUAGCUUUUCUGUAUUAUUGAGAUAGCAAAGAGAAGUGUGUGAAGCUAAAACUCAGUACAAAAACUGUUUUUGUCAUGUGGGAACAUGGCAACAUAAAAUGAGAUGCAUCACCUAGAAUCAGUUUUUUUUUUUUUUUUAAAUAGGGGCAAUUUUUAAAUAUUUUUUUACCAUAAUAAAGUAUUUCUAAAUUUAUUUACCAAACUGCGGUACUUUGAGGCACGAAGAUUCUACCUCGACAAUCCAUGUCAUCUUUUUUUUUUUUCCUAUGACAUUAAAAUAAGACAGUCAACAUUACGUUAGACUAGUUAGAUUUGUUUGUAACCUAGGUUUUUACAUACAUGACUAGGUAAACAUCUUGUUUUAAACAACAGAACUGACACACACACACAUACUGCUUCCAGAUCUUGGAUUCCCAGCCAUCAUACUUCCCAAACAUGUUUUUUGUCCCUUAGCUUGUGCUUGAAUUCCCAGUAACCUUAACAUAAACAUGGAAACAUUUUCCUUCUUUUUUUUUUGUUGCAAUAAAAAAUUAUUCUCUCUUGCUUCCAUCUAUCAUUCAGUGCCGGAAUUCCUAACAAUCCUUAUAACCGAAAGUCCCUACAUGAACUUCAGAUAUAUAACCACAUACCUUCAAAGCUAUCCCAUCAAUAACUUCCUUAAUGCUCUACAGGCCUACGCAGUCUUUAACUAAAUCUUCUAAUAGACAUCCAAAAGCACACGAGUAUCAAGAUCAACAAGGGUGGAUGAAUUUCCAAGAUACCAUUUAUUUUAUUAACACAUUAUUAGUUAUUGAAAGAAAAAGAAUGAUAUGGCAAGGAGAGCCCUACACGACAAAGUUAUCUUGGAUUAGGUUAAAAGUACCUCCUUUGAUAAAUAACAACAAGAAAGUAUGGUUUAUUGG